CCUACGGGAGGCAGCAGUGGGGAAUAUUGGACAAUGGGGGCAACCCUGAUCCAGCCAUGCCGCGUGUGUGAAGAAGGCCCUCGGGUUGUAAAGCACUUUCAGUGAGGAAGAACGCCUGGUGGUUAAUACCCAUCAGGAAAGACAUCACUCACAGAAGAAGCACCGGCUAACUCCGUGCCAGCAGCCGCGGUAAUACGGAGGGUGCGAGCGGUAAUCGGAAUUACUGGGCGUAAAGCGCGCGUAGGUGGCUUGAUAAGCCGGUUGUGAAAGCCCCGGGCUCAACCUGGGAACGGCAUCCGGAACUGUCAAGCUAGAGUGCAGGAGAGGAAGGUAGAAUUCCCGGUGUAGCGGUGAAAUGCGUAGAGAUCGGGAGGAAUACCAGUGGCGAAGGCGGCCUUCUGGACUGACACUGACACUGAGGUGCGAAAGCGUGGGUAGCAAACAGGAUUAGAUACCCCGGUAGUC
rnacentral:rRNA from 1 species